ensembl:lncRNA
GGAGAUCCUAGAUGAGUGUCUCAUUUGCAUGUCUAACAAAGCUUUGGGUAAUCACGGAGAGGACGCUGGACUCAGUUAAAAGACUGGGUGUUUGGAAAGAGGCAUCUGUGCUCGGCGAUCCCUUGAUCUGCCUCAGAUUUGAGUCCGUCUUGCAAAAGGAUGCUGCAUCUUCGCUGCACAUCUGGAAAUUCCAGAUUUUUGUGGAAGGCAUUGGGUUCCGGAGCUGGGAGGUCUGGGACAUCAUACUGCUUGUUUUUUCAAGCACUCUUCUGUAGCAAAAGUAAUACCAGGAGUGGAAGGCCUUCCCUGGGCAGCCAGCAGAGGGGAGGAAGUACUGGGGUCUGCUGGCACAGCAGAGCUUGCCAAGGGAGAUCUCGAGUCCAGAUCUGGCUGGUUGCAGCAGUUUUGUUAUGGCAUUAUGCAAAGUCCUUUGAAGAUUUCCUCUUGGCAGAGCCUGCCGCGUCAUCACAGAGGUAGAGCAGGGAAUGAUCUAAAUCUUGUUAGGCGUUGUGAAGCAGUCAGAACAGCUGGCUGCAAAAUUAGCCCCUCAACAAAGAAGGAAGCGAGGGGGUUGUAAGCCUGAAAGAGUAGGGGUGAGGCUGUUAGUGAUACAGGACACAGUGCAGCAGGGGGCUGGGGCAGGUUGGCUCUGGCUUGAGAUGUGAAUGAAAGCAAGUGAAGGUGAGUUAAGGUAUUCAGGGAAAGGGGAGAUGAGCACAAUGAAGUCGAUAUAUGGAACAGCUCCUUUUUCUGAAGUUCCACGAUGUUCACCUAAGUGCAGUGAUCUUCAUGUCCUUCUAAUUCCCCUCUUUGCAAUCUCACAAAUCGAGGGGUGGCUUUGCUUUUACCUGCUGUUGCAUACUGUUGGUAACUCACGGUGGUCUCCCAAGGUGACUGCCCACACCUGGGGCUGGUCAUGCUCUGACUGUGCAGGUGACAGAGCCUUGGCCAGGACACAUUCUGUGCUUGUGUUCCUGCCAUUUCCCCUCACUCUGGGGUGUCACAUCCUCAGGGCCCCAGCACAGAGGUCUUUAGCUUCACAGCGAUGUCUUUCACACCUUCCCCACCAUAUGCUUCUCUUGCUUCCCUUUCCUGCCAAAGUACAUCCCCAACUUCUCUGUCCGCAUUUGCUCCUCCUCUGUCUCUAAUGAGGCAAAUGUUAAAGCUCAGCAAAGGAUAUCUGUUGAGCUCUGAGGAUUGCUGGUGGGAGAAACCCCACGGGUGGCUGAAAAUGUUUCAGCAUCCCCCUUCUUACUUUUCAUUUACAUCUCGUCUCUGCAGAGUGGGUAGUGUUCCUUGGAAACAGCAACACUUAUAUACGUUACUAUAUUACUUAUAUACAUUAACUAUAUUACAUAUAGUACGAGGGCUGCUCCGAAUGUAGUGCCUCCCAUUUUAUGAUGUCAACCUACAAAGUCAGAGGCAGAUGUUGGUGGUGUGACAGUAGAGGUUGAACCUUCUCACCAAUAUUCCAUUACAUGUUGUUGCCACGUGACAGAUGGCAGCAAGAGGGGCAGUCUGACAGAAUGGCACUUGAAGAAGAUGGAAGAGCAUGUGAAGCAAAGGUAUGUCACUGAAUUCCUCCGUGUGGAAAAAAUGGCACCCAUUGACAUUCAUCAGUGCUGGCUGAACAUUUAUGGAGACCAAACAGUAGAUGUGAGCACAGUGAGUGAUGUUACGACAGCAGCAGUGGGUCACUUGCGCUAGUACAGACUGUUACGUGCAUGGCAUAGAGGUUCUUGUUCAUUGCUAGUGAAGAUGGAUAGCUAAUGAUGGUGACUAUGAUGAAAAAGAAUGUCUUGUAGCUGAGAAUUUGCUCUAUCAAAUACUGUUGUUGUGCUCUUUGUAUCUGCUGUAGUUUCCACGGAAAUAAGAAGGCAUUACUUUUGGAACAACCACUGUAGAUGCAGCCCUGGAUAAUUCCUCUUCACCCAAUGUGGCCCAGGGUUUGGGGCUGAUAGAAGAUACCUGUUCUCAUGCAGAAGGACCUGGAUCUCUGCCACCAGAUCGCUUUUCAGCUCAGGUCUCAGAGAGCCAUGUGUGCUCCCCCUGACCUCAUGAAGCAUGCGUGUCCACAACUCUCAUCCAAAAUGCUUAACAGUUUUACCAGCUCUGGACCAUUUCAUGGAAAAAAAAAAAAAAAAAACAGAAGCAAAUGUGACUGAGAACUCAACAGCAUCAGCAGCACUAUUGAAUGACAGGCACCAUCUAUUUUGGUCUAAUAAUGACUGCACUAUCUAGCAGCCUGCCAUCAUUGUGGUCCCACGAUAUUUCUAGCACAAGAAUGGAAAGAUAAAGCAUCCACUGGCAAUGAAAGCCGAGCUUGUAGCAAGCUUCCAGAGCGGGCCAGCAGAUCUACAUAUGAUUUCCUCGUCUCCACAGACCAACAGCUCAGCGCAGCCAAACAAAACCUCUUUUCCAGUCCCCAUAAGAGUGUUAAGCACCCAUGGAGCAAUCUGUUCUGCACAACCCCAUGUAGGCUGGGAGCCCAGCCUGCCUCUAGCCAUGGCACAGCAGCCUGUAAGUCCUACAGUCUGAUCAUAAGCAGCAUAAUCCAGCAGGAUAGCUUAAAUGUUCCAUUCAAGGGCUCCUCUGCAUCAGAGGGCAGUGAAUGAAUC